ensembl:lncRNA
GGUGUGGGCCUGGUGGAGCUGAAACUUGAACACAGCCAUUGGAUCCCAGAGCUUGUGUUCCCACCUCCGGGCAUCCUGCCUCAAGGAAGGAGAGAGACACACGUCUCCCAGAGGUCCCAUGGUGGCUGAGCUGAAACUAGGAAGAAGACAACAGACAUAAAGAGUCAUGAUCCCGAAACCUCUCGAAAAAUUUUGUUAUUGACGAUGGCAAAGUCACCCUGAGCAAGGCUCUCUUUUCUUUGAGUUUGGGCAAUGGGUGCAGAGAAGCAGGGGGAUGCCCCUCCAGCAGCUGCAAUGAUCAAGGGAUCCGGUGCCUUUUGUGUCUCCUGGCACUGAGGAUUUCCCUCUCCGUGAGUAGCUGGAACUGACCAAGGCCCCUGCAACUGACCGGGAGAGAUGCCCCUUUUCGAUUCCAUCGGGAUGGACUUUGUGGAUCCUGCCUGGUGAGACAUGUCACAUGGAGCAAUCUCGCUGGAAUGGCCCCUUCGAGACUGGCUGGAUGGCUCACCUCCAUCCCUCCAUCCCUUCUGCUUAGGAGGUGGGGGAUGGUGACACCUCAGGUAGAGUUCCCAGCCACAUUUUCCUGAAACAGAACUGAGGUGCCUGCAAUCACCUUGUCAGGAACCGUAGUGCCUGGGGAUCCAUGAGCUGCUCCUUAAAGAGAGCUGGAGUGAGAACUAGGAAAUGUGGCCUUCAUGUCUACACUCGUCAUCAGGAAAUCCCUAGAUCAGUGAUUCUUGACUGGAGUGCUUCUGAUCCCCAAGGGCAUUUGGCCAUGUCUGGAGGUAUUUUAAGUCAUCACACCUCUGAUGUGUGUGAAGGUGCUGCUGCCAUCUAGUGGGUGGAGGCCUGGGAUGCAGCUGAGACCAACUCUGCAACUCCGUGGACUGUGGCCCUCCAGGCUCCUGUGUCCAUGGCAUUCUCCAGGCAAAAUACUGGAGUGGGGAACUGUUCCCUUCUCCAGGGGAUCUGCUCGGCCCAGGGAUCAAACCAGGGUCUCCUGCAUUGCAGGCUGACUCUUUACCGUCUGAGUCACCAGGGAAGCCCCUGCCCAUCUUUACUUAAUGGGAAAUGGCCCUUGGAGGGGAAGGUUCUGAGUAACCAUGGUUACCACCUUGAAUCCCCAAAUGAGAGGUAUCACCAAAGAAAAUGUCAUCUUUUUUUGCACAAAAGGAUGAUGUUUGCCACCCUAUUUUAGAUAAUGGCUUUAGACUCAGGCUAAAAUAACUCACAGGCUAGUUUAGCUCAUCUUGCUCAGUCUGUCUGCCUUCUAACUAGUCUGCCAAGAAUGACGGUGAGAAGACCUGAUCUGAAGGUCAGGAUGGGUAGGCUUCCAAGGGAAAAAGGCCCUUCACAUUCAAAGAGUUUUUUUUCUUUGCCGCUUAGAACUCUUCACAUACACAAUGAAGCCCUGCACUUGCAAAUCACAGAGUUAGUUCAAAGUUACAUUAAAUUCAAGUAAGAUCUAACUCGAGCAUUUAUGCACUUAUCAAAAUGCCAACAGAAACAUACAGAGUGCCUUUUAUGCCCAAGACCUUCUGCUCCAGCCAAACAAGAAGCCGCACUCCCCACCCCCAUCCCCCACCUCCGGAGUAGCCAGAUGUGUUAUCUCCAACUGCAAAGAGGGGGUCAAAGCAAUGAGUCCGGCACCCCUUAGGGUCAAAUUGCCUGCAGAAAAUCUCAGAGGGUGGGGUAAACGGGGAGGGGGAGGUGAGCACAACAGAAAUCAUGCUCGGUGAGUUGCAGCUGGGCAACUUGUCCCUUCCAAUCCAAUUCUAAUCCAAUGUCCAGUCCAAUGUUCAUUCAUCUAGACUGGUCAUACCUGCUAGAGGUUAAAAACAUGACUCUAGGGCCAGUCUGCCUGGGCUUGAAUCCCUAUUCUCCUGCUUACCUUUGAGACUUUGGGCAAUCACUUACCUCUGCUUGACUCAAUAUCCUCCUCUGUAAAAUGGGGACAUUAACUGUACCUGCUUCAUGAGGCUACUGAGAGGAUUACAAGGAGGUUGACCCUUUAUGAGCACUAUAUAGA